GAUGAACGCUGGCGGCGUGCUUAACACAUGCAAGUCGAACGGGAAAUACUUUAUUGAAACUUUGGUGGAUUUAAUUUAUUUCUAGUGGCGGACGGGUGAGUAACGCGUGGGUAACCUGCCUUAUACUGGGGGAUAACAGCCAGAAAUGACUGCUAAUACCGCAUAAGCGCACAGAACCGCAUGGUUCCGUGUGAAAAACUCCGGUGGUAUAAGAUGGACCCGCGUUGGAUUAGCUAGUUGGCAGGGCAGCGGCCUACCAAGGCGACGAUCCAUAGCCGGCCUGAGAGGGUGAACGGCCACAUUGGGACUGAGACACGGCCCAGACUCCUACGGGAGGCAGCAGUGGGGAAUAUUGCACAAUGGGGGAAACCCUGAUGCAGCGACGCCGCGUGAAGGAAGAAGUAUCUCGGUAUGUAAACUUCUAUCAGCAGGGAAGAUAAUGACGGUACCUGACUAAGAAGCCCCGGCUAACUACGUG
rnacentral:rRNA from 1 species